AUAGGUAUGAUUCACCACUUGCAACCGUAGGCUUCCACAAGGCAGGUGAUACUCCAAUUGCUAAGACCUUGAAAGCAAAAAGAUCAUCAGAUGGCAAGUUUUGUACGUGGUAAAAGCUUGAGCCUAACCCGCCAACGCCGUCGGAGGGGACGAAAAAGCAAAGGAGGUGGACGUGGAAGGGGGCGCAGGAGACGACGCCAUGGCAAAAAGAAAGGUCAUAAGUCCCGUGGCCGCAGAAGAAGGAGAAGACAUCACUAAAACUCUUCCCUUUUUAUGGUGUCCUGUGUCCUUGACUCUGAAAGCCAUCAGACAAAUCAACCAACCAACCAAAUGAAACAACUUUUCAUAAGAACACCCAGGAUACCAUUCUGAGAUUCAAGGAGCCUGCAGCAAUGUGAACAAAAUCACCUGUCAAUAAAAUGCUGAAAUGUCAUG
rnacentral:lncRNA from 11 species